rnacentral:rRNA from 1 species
CUACGUGCCAGCAGCCGCGGUAAUACGUAGGGUGCGAGCGUUAAUCGGAAUUACUGGGCGUAAAGCGAGCGCAGACGGUUACUUAAGCAGGAUGUGAAAUCCCCGGGCUCAACCUGGGAACUGCGUUCUGAACUGGGUGACUAGAGUGUGUCAGAGGGAGGUAGAAUUCCACGUGUAGCAGUGAAAUGCGUAGAGAUGUGGAGGAAUACCGAUGGCGAAGGCAGCCUCCUGGGAUAACACUGACGUUCAUGCUCGAAAGCGUGGGUAGCAAACAGGAUUAGAUACCCUGGUAGUCCACGCCCUAAACGAUGUCAAUUAGCUGUUGGGCAACUUGAUUGCUUAGUAGCGUAGCUAACGCAUGAAAUUGACCGCCUGGGGAGUACGGUCGCAAGAUUAAAACUCAAAGGAAUUGACGGGGACCCGCACAAGCGGUGGAUGAUGUGGAUUAAUUCGAUGCAGCGCGAAGAACCUUACCUGGUCUUGACAU